CACAUCUAAAAGAAAAAACACAAAACUCACUAUUAAUCUAAUUUCUAUAUCUCUCCACUCCCGACAUUCCCCACUCAUCUUGUUCCAGCCCAAAAAAGAGAGAGAGAGAUUUAAUAGAAGAUGUUGUCUGAUUCAGAUCUGGGUCUACACCAACAAGUGCGAGAAACCCAGAUUCGACUUGGUCUAGUCAUGGUCGGAAAAAAAGUUUAGAGUCGGAAAAAAAAAAACUUUAGUCUGCAAAACCAAAUCGAGACCUCUGCUCCUGAAAACCCUAGAUCUAUAUCUCUGCUUGUCUUGUUUCUUAUUAAGUCUUCCUCUUAGAAAACCCUAUAUAAAUCUCUCUCUUUUCAUAUCUAUGGCGGAUUUGGAUAAAUGAGGAGGAGUAAUCGCCGACAUUAGACACGACGGCGGUGGCGGCGGAGGAGAGGUUGAAGAGAGGGAGAAGCUAACGGAACUUGAAGGAAUCUCUGUGUUGGAUUUUGAUCUGCUUUGCUCGACGGUUACCCUUCAGACUCAGGGGAAGUGGAGGAAACUUGAGAGGUCGGAGGGUGACCAUGUAAUGGAGGAUAAUUACGACGGCGGCGUUUUGUGGCUUUGCGAUGGAGGAAAAUCCCAAGAGAUUUGACUGAGGCAUCUCUCUCUGGUGCUGGAUUAUCCGUGAUUUAGAACUGAUCCCUUUUGUUUUUUAUGUGUGAAGACUAACACAUGAUUCUGGCUGAUGGUUUAAUUUGCAGGAGCUGAGUAGUUAUUUAACAUCCAUUACAGUUCAUGAACAAGCUGUGAGUAUGAUUUGUUACUAACCAUUUCCCCUAAUAGUAUUUAAGUAACCUCCAUUACAGUUCCUCGAUUGCUUCUUUUUGUUAGCAGUAUUAUCAUUUGAGUCUGAGCAAGAUACAAGUAUGCGGUGUGUUUGUACUCUCUGUUACUCACUUUACUUUAUAGUUUUCAAUAUAAUUAAUUAUGAUUUAUUUGUUUAUAUAAAUUACUUUGACUGCAAAUCUUGGUGUUGUCACAGGUUAACUCUAUAUUUGACCGCAAAUGUGUGAUGUCAAAGGUUCACACGUAUGAAUGUAUUUUGGGAGCAACCAAAGAGAGUGAGGAACACAAGAAGACAAGUCUUGAGUAAGAAUGGUUGUACUAAAGCUGGAGACUUGACGAGGACUUCAAGAAGGCCAAGGAGAAGAGUUACUUUCAAGAAGAAAGUAGGAGUUCCAGGAUUCUACUUGACGCCAUUAAACAGUCAUAUGGCCAGCAAAUCCGGUAAAAGUAGGCUAAUGAAUUAGUCUGAUUCCUGAUCUUUGAUUGUUCAGUUCAUGAUGGACUAUAUAUUGAAGUUGUGUUGUAAUUAGCAAUUACCCUGUGUGUUACUUAUUAUCCCAUUGUUCUAUAGAUAUAUGAACUAAAACCAUAUCCCAUUGUUCCAAGGUUUUAUCUUUUCAAAGUUAUGGCUGAUUUAUGGUUAAGUUACGGUUGAGUUA